rnacentral:lncRNA from 1 species
GCCAGUUACUAGUACUCGGAUCUGCAUCGGGAUAAAGAUGCAGAAGUGUAGCAUGAGUACUAAAGCAACGGGUACUCAGUAGACAUCAUCAGUCGACUGAGCUCAAUACAAGAAAAAUACAACUAAAAUAUAAGGAUAUUGAUAAUAGUAAACAAGGAUAGAAAGGUAAAUAACUAUCAAGCUAUGCUAAUGUGAAAAAGGAAUAAGUAUAAAUGAUAUAGAAAGAUAAAUAACGCAGUAAUAAAAGGCAAAUCAAACAUAACCUAACUGGGC